rnacentral:rRNA from 1 species
UACGAGGGGUCCUAGCGUUGUUCGGAAUCAUUGGGCGUAAAGCGUCUGUAGGCGGCUUUGUAAGUCGGGUGUGAAAGCCCCAGGCUCAACCUGGGAAGUGCAUUCGAUACUGCAUAGCUUGAAUGUUGGAGAGGAUAGUAGAAUUCCAGGUGUAGUGGUGAAAUACGUAGAUAUCUGGAGGAAUACCGGUGGCGAAGGCGGCUAUCUGGCCAAACAUUGACGCUGAGAGACGAAAGCAUGGGGAUCAAACAGGAUUAGAAACCCCAGUAGUCC